AUAAUUUGUUAUAUGUUCCAAGAAAUUGUUUUGUAUUUAAUAUAUAGUCACUAUAUAUUACAAGAUUGGGGAUACCUUUUUUUCACAUGGAGAAAUACUUUGAACAUCAGCAAAAUAUCCGCCAAUCUGUAGUCCGGAUUCGGACUUUUUUUUAAAACGCUUGAAAGAUACAGAUUAUGACGCGUUUUGAAGAAGAGAAGAACGCAGCCGAUAAUAAUUUGUCAACAACAAUAGUACUUGUUUUAGCUAAUUUAACAAGACAACCAAUGCCAAGGAGCUAUGAAUUAAUAAAUACUCGAGGAUAUACUACAGGGAGACUCGGGAGCACCUGGUGUACCCGGGGCAAUAGGAGAAGUUGGAAUUAAAGGAAUGAAAGGAAAUUCUGGACCAAGAGGACCAGCUGGACCUCCAGGAGAAGCUGGUUCCACAGGACCACCUGGCCAUGGGUUAUCAGGAGAACAGGGACUACUUGAAAUACACAUUUGUUGCUCCAAAGAUGGAAGAGGAUUUGAAGUUAUACAAUGACAUGAAUGAAUUGAUUAAAAAUACAUGUAGAUGAGACCCUGUAUCUACAGUACAUGUAACUGGAACUGUAGGAAGUAUUCCAAAGUCUGAUUGCAAAGUAUGCAUUACAGGAUUCUAUCAUUGGAGCAACAUCUUAGGAGGAUAAGUGGAAAUGUAUGAAGGAAUCCUUGGGUACAAAUAUCAAUUAUAUGCAGAAGUGGACUCUUAAACAUUAUUAACAGACAUGGUAGUCAAGAAAUUUAUACCAUUACCAACUGGAAUUAACUAUUGCCUUUAUUUUUUCAACCAUAAGUACUUUCAGAAUACAAUACAAUUCAAAUUCAGAUUAUUGUGUCAACAUACAAAAAUGUACAAGUUAAAAAAAAUGAAAAUGCAUAUAUCAUGUACACAAUGUAUUGAAUAUGAACUUUAUAUAAAAAAUGAAGUAACAAAAAUGUUUAGCUUUAUAUUGUGCAGCCAAACUUUGAAA